rnacentral:lncRNA from 1 species
GAAGAUAGUCAACUGCCAUAAAUACAAUAACUUCAAGUCGAGGGUGUUUGGUAUGUUCUCUGGCUGAAUACUUUGACAUCUUAUUUUGUGGAUCUUGAUUUGUGUUUGUUGAUAAUUUUUGCAGAAGUUAUGGGGCAAAAGGGUGGCCGUGACUAGCUUAAGCUUUCCCGAACCGCCAACAAAGAAGUGGGCGCUCCCCCCGUCCUCGUUCGUCCUUCCAACGUCCUCGCUCGUCCUGUUAUCACAGCGACCAAUGUUCCGGUUGUGUGUGUAGAUGAACCCCCUCCUUCUCCUGAG